GAGUUUGAUCCUGGCUCAGGAUGAACGCUGGCGGCGUGCCUAAUACAUGCAAGUCGAGCGAACGGACGAGAAGCUUGCUUCUCUGAUGUUAGCGGCGGACGGGUGAGUAACACGUGGAUAACCUACCUAUAAGACUGGGAUAACUUCGGGAAACCGGAGCUAAUACCGGAUAAUAUUUUGAACCGCAUGGUUCAAAAGUAAAAGACGGUCUUGCUGUCACUUAUAGAUGGAUCCGCGCUGCAUUAGCUAGUUGGUAAGGUAACGGCUUACCAAGGCAACGAUGCAUAGCCGACCUGAGAGGGUGAUCGGCCACACUGGAACUGAGACACGGUCCAGACUCCUACGGGAGGCAGCAGUAGGGAAUCUUCCGCAAUGGGCGAAAGCCUGACGGAGCAACGCCGCGUGAGUGGUGAAGGUCUUCGGAUCGUAAAACUCUGUUAUUAGGGAAGAACAUAUGUGUAAGUAACUGUGCACAUCUUGACGGUACCUAAUCAGAAAGCC
rnacentral:rRNA from 1 species